AUGGAGGGUCUUCCUUUGGUGUGCUAUUCGAGUGGGACAAUGAGUUCCCUUCUCGACAAGCUCACCAAACUGAAGAACAAUCAUUCCAAUCGAUCGGAUGAAUUUUCCGUUCUGACUGAAAAGUUGAAGGAAGAUCUGCUGGGCCUUAAGGAGUUCUGCGACAAGCUGGGCACAUCCAAAGUGUGUAUGAAGCAACUCCGGGAGCUGGUCUUCGAGAUCGAAGACUGGAUCGAUCAAAGGCCGGAGACCAACAUUCUGUUGGACACAGAAGAAAUCAAAUACUUCAUGUCUGAGAUCAAGGGAGCGCAUGAGCGCUUCAAAUGGUACGGAAGUCUUCUCAAGAUAGAGUCCAGUGAGACCGAUCUUGCUGUUGUUGCACCCAGCAAAAUCACCAUUGACCCUCGUCUGCUUAGCGAGGAGAAAUAUUGUCAUGGUAUUCUUGAUGGUCCAAGGGAUGAGCUUGUCAAGCAUCUGACAGAUCAGACGGAGGAGAUGCUAAAGGUGGUAUCCGUCGUCGGAGUGGAAGGCCUUGGUAAGACUACUCUUGCCAAGGAGAUCUAUUCAAAGCUUCAACUUCGUCGGCUGUUCGAAUGCCAAGCUAUGGUCUCUCUCGGCAGGAGGCCUGCCAUGAGGGAUGUACUAUAUCAUAUACUCCAUCAAGUAAAUCGUUUCAGUAAGACAUUACAUAGAGUUGCAGAUGUGCAGGAAAUUAUUACUGAGCUCCGGGAAUACCUCGGCGGGAAGAGGUACUUCAUCAUAGUCGAUGACAUACGGAGUACAUUCGAUUGGAAAGUUAUCAAUAGUGCUUUGCCAUACAACCGUGGAAGUAGGGUUUUGACGACAACUUGCAAUGCAGAUGUAGGCAAAUCCUGUUCUAUCUAUCCAACUGAUCUUGUCUACCACAUGGAUGUACUUAGCGAGAAGAACUCCAAAAUCUUUCUUCUCAAUAGAAUAAUAACUCUUCAAGAGGAAGAAAGAGGUGCUGAAUUUGAAGAAGUUUCUGGUAACAUGUUGAAUCUAUGUGGUGGCAUGCCACUGGCCAUUAUUGUUGCAGCCAGCUUAUUAGUCAGAAAAUCCAAAGAACUGGCAGAGCUGAAGAUCUUUGGGGAAUCUAUUUAUUCAACAUUGAGGCAAUAUUCUACCUCCAAAGGGAUGACAAUGAUAUUGCACAAGAGUUAUGCUGAUCUAUCUCUUCCUUUGAGAUCUUGCUUUCUGUACCUAGGUGUUUUUCCGGAAGGCUAUAUUAUAAAAAAAGAUCGUUUGAUAAGGUUAUGGGAAGCAGAAGGAUUUAUUUCCAGGACCAAUAAAGAAUACUUGUGGGUAACAGGGGAGACGUACUUCAACGAACUUAUUAGUAGAAGGCUGAUUGAGCCACUUUUUGGAUUUGAGGAUGACCAGGCAUCUGGUUGUAUCAUUCAUGGUGUCAUUCUUGAUUUCAUAAGAUCCUUGUGGAAAGAAGAGAACUUUGCUACCACGGCUGUAGAAAUGAGCUCUGGUCCAUUUCCAUGUGACACGAUUCGGCGGUUCUCGGUCGACUAUGGCAACAAAGAUGAAGCUAACACCUUCUCCAGAAGCACCGUUCACCUUUCAAGCAUGCGAUCUCUAACUGUUUUCGGGGACGUUGAAGGGAUGUUUGAUCCUCUGUUCCCCUCAGAUUCCGAGGAUAAUGAACAAACUGAAGUUGCUCCAGUGUAUAUUCUGUGGUCCUUCAAACUUUUGCGGGUACUUGACCUAGAAGAUAGGAAGGAGUUGAAAGGUCACCAGCUGAAAGGCAUUGGUGGAUUGGUCCUACUGAGAUACUUGGGACUCGCAGGGACUCAUAUCAGCUGGUUACCAGAAGAGAUCGGAGAAUUGGAGCAGCUGGAGACCCUAGAUUUGAGGCGGAACUGGUACUUUGGGACUUUGCCUAAAUCUAUAUUUAAAUUGCAAAAGCUGAAGCAUGUGAUACUCAACGUAAAUGUGCAGAAAAGUUUUAUGAUGCAGGAAUUAGAAGAAGCAAAUAUCAUGGUCAACGAAAGCAACUCACUCGGUACAGUGGCAGAGCUUCUAAGGAAGUCUGAGUGGCUAAGGAUGCUACGUGUAACCUUGGGUAUAUCAUCAUAUGCAACAGAAACCAAUCUCGUGUCUUUCUUCGAUGCAGUUGUAAAGUCCAAGCUCCACUCCCUAUCUCUUAAUUGUGAGUUUAGUAAUGAUGAAAUGGUUUCCCUACUUGUGGAUUCAUGUGCGAAGCUCACUGCUCCAUCAGUAAAUAAAUCUGAGCCCCCAAGAUUUGAGCUCGUACUAUUUUAUCUUCCUCUCAGGCGAGUUCCACCUGAUAUGGACUCACUCUCGAGCCUUACCCACUUGCACAUUCAACUUGAACAAGCAAAAGCAGGAGAUUUCCAUGUUCUUGGGGGCUUGAGUAAUCUAGUUCUUCUCAACUUGUAUGCAAGGAAAUAUUUACUCCAAGGAAGGUUGGUCAUCAAUAAGGGUAUCUUUCCAUGUCUGAAGGUGUUUUCCUUCAUAAUCCAAGAUAGUUGGACGGGUCUGGAGUUCAAAGAGGGAGCCAUGCCACAGCUUCAAAGGCUUUGGCGUACCCUCGGAAUAAUAAAAGCAGGGGAUCAAUUUGAAUAUCCGGAUAUUGGCAUGGAGCACCUCACUUGCCUCACAAGAGUCCAUGUGGAGGUCAGUUGCGCAUAUGUUACUUAUUUGCAGGUGGAGGCUGCAGAAGCUGUCAUCAGAGCACAAAUAUCUGAGCCCACAUUAGUAUUGAGCAGAUUCAAUGGAACUCUGAUGAAGGGAGAAGAGCAACACUCACUAGAAGAUGAAUACCCAAUGUGGAAGGGUAAAGGGCAACACUCACAAGGCCAGAUGUGGAAGGGUAAAGGAGAACAGUACUCCAGUAUUCCAUCUGAAAGACAACUAUUGGAGAGGAUGAGGAAAAACAGCUUACAAUAA
rnacentral:rRNA from 1 species